rnacentral:rRNA from 2 species
UACGUAGGGUGCGAGCGUUAAUCGGAAUUACUGGGCGUAAAGCGUGCGCAGGCGGUUUUGUAAGCCAGAUGUGAAAUCCCCGGGCUCAACCUGGGAAUGGCAUUUGGGACUGCAAGGCUGGAGUUUGGCAGAGGAGACUGGAAUUCCUGGUGUAGCAGUGAAAUGCGUAGAUAUCAGGAGGAAUACCGAUGGCGAAGGCAGGUCUCUGGGCUAUAACUGACGCUCAUGCACGAAAGCGUGGGGAGCAAACAGG